rnacentral:rRNA from 1 species
CCUGCUUCCAGGAAAAGCCUCUAAGCAUCAGGUAACAUCAAAUCGUACCCCAAACCGACACAGGUGGUCAGGUAGAGAAUACCAAGGCGCUUGAGAGAACUCGGGUGAAGGAACUAGGCAAAAUGGUGCCGUAACUUCGGGAGAAGGCACGCUGAUAUGUAGGUGAAGUCCCUCGCGGAUGGAGCUGAAAUCAGUCGAAGAUACCAGCUGGCUGCAACUGUUUAUUAAAAACACAGCACUGUGCAAACACGAAAGUGGACGUAUACGGUGUGACGCCUG